AGCGAACGCUGGCGGCAGGCUUAACACAUGCAAGUCGAACGGGCACCUUCGGGUGUCAGUGGCAGACGGGUGAGUAACACGUGGGAACGUGCCCUUCGGUUCGGAAUAACUCAGGGAAACUUGAGCUAAUACCGGAUACGCCCUUAUGGGGAAAGGUUGACCGCCGAAGGAUCGGCCCGCGUCUGAUUAGCUUGUUGGUGGGGUAACGGCCUACCAAGGCGACGAUCAGUAGCUGGUCUGAGAGGAUGAUCAGCCACACUGGGACUGAGACACGGCCCAGACUCCUACGGGAGGCAGCAGUGGGGAAUAUUGGACAAUGGGCGCAAGCCUGAUCCAGCCAUGCCGCGUGAGUGAUGAAGGCCUUAGGGUUGUAAAGCUCUUUUGUCCGGGACGAUAAUGACGGUACCGGAAGAAUAAGCCCCGGCUAACUUCGUG
rnacentral:rRNA from 1 species